UGUCCAGGGGCGGGAAUCGAACCCACAACCUUCUGCUUACCGGGCAGGUGCCAUGUCCCCUAGGCUUAC